rnacentral:rRNA from 1 species
CCUACGGGAGGCAGCAGUGAGGAAUAUUGGACAAUGGAGGCAACUCUGAUCCAGCCAUGCCGCGUGUAGGAAGACUGCCCUAUGGGUUGUAAACUACUUUUAUAUAGGAAGAAACGACAUUACGUGUAAUGUUUUGACGGUACUAUAAGAAUAAGGAUCGGCUAACUCCGUGCCAGCAGCCGCGGUAAUACGGAGGAUCCAAGCGUUAUCCGGAAUCAUUGGGUUUAAAGGGUCCGUAGGCGGGCUUAUAAGUCAGUGGUGAAAGUUUGCGGCUUAACCGUAAAAUUGCCAUUGAUACUGUAGGUCUUGAAUCAUUGUGAAGUGGUUAGAAUAAGUAGUGUAGCGGUGAAAUGCAUAGAUAUUACUUAGAAUACCGAUUGCGAAGGCAGAUCACUAACAAUGUAUUGACGCUGAUGGACGAAAGCGUGGGUAGCGAACAGGAUUAGAUACCCCAGUAGUC